CAAUCAGCAAGGUCUUCACCUGGCAGGGUCUUGGUCAAAAUUAUUUUCUGUGUGAAAGCUUAUGCAGAGAAUCCAUGAGUUUUCUAGGAAUGGAUUUAACUCAAGUUCAGUGAUGCAAUAUACUGUUUAAAUGGCAGCUGCUUAUAAUCACUUCCAUGAUUUUUGAGCAUGCAGAGAAUACAUUUCACAAAAUAUGAAAGAUCUUGUGAAGUGGAAGUUCAGUUACCUGCUGGAUGCACCUUGUCCCUUUGCUGCCAGGUUUCUUGAAGAUGAGAAAACUUACCCAGCCUGGAUUCAAUUUUAGAAAGAAGAUUAAAUUUGAGUUAUGUUGCCC